CACGUAGGGGGCAAGCGUUGUCCGGAUUUAUUGGGCGUAAAGAGCUCGUAGGCGGUCUGUCGCGUCUGUUGUGAAAACUCGAGGCUCAACCUCGGGCUUGCAGUGGAUACGGGCAGACUAGAGUGCGGUAGGGGAGACUGGAAUUCCUGGUGUAGCGGUGAAAUGCGCAGAUAUCAGGAGGAACACCGGGUGGCGAAGGCGGGUCUCUGGGCCGAUACUGACGCCGAGGAGCGAAAGCGUGGGGAGCGAACAGG
rnacentral:rRNA from 1 species